rnacentral:rRNA from 1 species
UACAGAGGCCCCAAGCGUUACUGAGAAUCACUGGGUUUAAAGGGUGCGUAGGUGGCGCGGUAAGUCGGGUGUGAAAUUUCGAGGCUUAACUUCGAAACUGCAUUCGAUACUGCCGUGCUAGAGGACUGGAGAGGAGACUGGAAUUUACGGUGUAGCGGUGAAAUGCGUAGAUAUCGUAAGGAAGACCAGUGGCGAAGGCGGGUCUCUGGACAGUUCCUGACGCUGAGGCACGAAGGCCAGGGGAGCAAACGGG